UCCCUUCCAAACAGUAAAGUUCCUCUUUGUCUCUCAGUAGGAAAUUUAAACCAGACAGUACAAGGCUACAUUUCAGUGUUACAAGCCAAUCAGUUUGCUAAUUGUUCUGUGAGAUUUGUUUGCAAAGUUUAAGGUGUUAAGUAGGACUGUGAACAUCUGGGUCUGCUUGCUGCUGGCAUUCUGCCAGAGCCCCAGCAACAAGACCGCCUCCCAGCAACGAGACUGCCUGUCAGCCUUGCAAGCGUCUCAGCAACAACACUGCCUCCCAGCUUGCAAGGUAAUUACUUUCCCAAUUACUGUACACCAAAACGAAGUAACUGUCUUGGUCAACAAAUCUGCCUCCCAACUUUCAAGGUAAUCACUUUCUCAAUUACAAUAUACAAACUGUUAUGGAACUUUACUUAACAAAGCCUUAAGACCGGGUAGUGACACUAUCAAUAUGUCAAUUUAAAGAAAAGAGAUUUUUUUUUUUGUUCUUGUAGUCAUCUUGUCUGUCAAUGUAUCAGAGGGUUAAAAUAACAAAUUGCUUGAAAUGCCAAUAAUUAAUAUUCUGUUUUAUGUUGACAUUCUACCAGAUGCCGAAAAAAA